rnacentral:lncRNA from 1 species
AGAGAUGUCUCCAUCUAACAAGACUCCUGAAGAUCUUGCCAACUUUUAAUUUGCUUCAACUACUAAUGUGGACAAAUUUUAAUUACUGGAUUUAAAACAAAUAGUAAAUAACCAAUCACAUCUAUGUUAUCGCCGAGGGACUUGUAAUAAAAGUGCAGAUCUGUGUCCUUGAAGCUACGUGUAUCUAAGACUCGUUAACACGGCAACGUUUUUUCUUUUUAAAUGAUGUAGGAUUUAUCUAAUGCGGAUUCUAGUUCACACAAGGAAGAAAUAUGCUAUGCAGAUGUUUGCUUCUCUUCUUCAACUCUCUAUAAUAUGCUUCCUACUCAGGGAUUUUAAUACUUAUAAGUAAUAACUAAUACGUACAUAAUGUGCUGUGCCAGCAAAGAAGGACUGGAACAAAAGUCCUUAAGACUGUCGAUCCUUCGGAUUGUCGGUAUUAGAACUGAUUAAAAAAAAGAAGAAAUGUUGUUGAGUGACGUCAUAAAGUACCGAACUUUAUAAGUUUUAGGACUGAACUGAACUCCAGUCUUCAGUACUAAAUAAAACGGAUACAACACUACGUACACACAUAUAAAUUAUAAAAUUAUUGGUAAUGUGGCAACUUGUCUCACUAAUAAGAAGAGGUAAUGACUUGGACUUGAGUCCAUAUUUUGAAGACUUGUGAUAUGACAUUGGACUCGAAAGUCAUUUAAUUUUCUUCGUUGGAUAUAGAGUAGGCUUUAAAGUAUACUUUAUUUUCUGUGGACUUGAUGAAAAUAUUGAAGGAGUUGGAUUUUGAGGAAAGACUUGAGACUCGACUUGGACUUGCAUUAUAAACAUUUUUUUUACAACUUUGCUAGCAACCAACUCAAUUAUCAGAAUCGGUACUCGCAUUUGAAAAAAAAAAAAAAAAACACCAUCAAAUUCACGCUCCAUUAUUAAUAUGCGUUAAAUUUUAAUCGCCUUAUAAUUUGUAGAUAAACUGUAUCAACAAUAGGUUACAUGAUAAGGGGUGGAAUCAAGAACGCUGUCAAAAUGGCGUAUGUUAUAUUAUAAUGACUAAUUUACAUAACAAAUUAUUAAUAAAAGGUACAACCUGCAAUUUCCAUCAAACUUUCUAUGUAAUUUUUGAUAAAAAAUAAGUG